AAACCCCCUCGCCGAAAGACUAAGGUUUCCUGAUCAACGCUAAUCGGAUCAGGGUUAGUCGGGUCCUAAGGCUCAGCCGAACGGUGAGGCCGAUGGCAGAACAGGUUAAUAUUCCUGUACUACCUUAAGGAGUGACGUGGAGACGGAGCAGUGACAGCGCCGCGGACUGACGGAAUAGUCCGUUGAAGGGUGUAGAUGUUGAUUAUCCCAGGCAAAUCCGGGAUAAGAGUCGAACCUGAUAGUAUACCAAAUUCUUCGGAAUAAGGUAAUAGUGCGUGUAAGCAUACUCCCAAGAAAAUCCGCUAAACUUAAUCUUUAAGGUACCCGUACCGCAAACGGACACACGUAGUCGGGUUGAAUAUACUAAGGCGCUUGAGUGAUUCACGGUUAAGGAACUAGGCAAAUUGACCCUGUAACUUCGGGAUAAAGGGUCCCAACGAGAGUUGGGCGCAGAGAAUAGGUCCAGGCAACUGUUUAACAAAAACACAGGGCUGUGCCAAAUUGAAAGAUUACGUAUACAGCCUGACACCUGCCCGGUGCUGGAAGGUUAAGAGGAGAUGUCAUCGCAAGAGAAGCAUUGAAUUGAAGCCCCAGUAAACGGCGGCCGUAACUAUAACGGUCCUAAGGUAGCGAAAUUCCUUGUCGGGUAAGUUCCGACCUGCACGAAUGGUGUAAUGAUCUGGACGCUGUCUCAACCGUGAGCUCAGUGAAAUUGUAGUAUCGGUGAAGAUGCCGAUUACCCGCGAUGGGACGAAAAGACCCCGUGAACCUUUACUAUAGCUUAACAUUGAAUUUGGGUAAUUGAUGUGUAGGAUAGGCCGGAGACUUUGAAUCAGGUACGCCAGUAUUUGUGGAGUCGCUGUUGAAAUACGGCCCUUUGAUUAUUUGAGUUCUAACUCGUAGAUGCGAGGACACUGUUUGGUGGGUAGUUUGACUGGGGUGGUCGCCUCCAAAAGUGUAACGGAGGCUUCUAAAGGUGCCCUCAGGACGAUUGGUAACCGUCCGUAGAGUGUAAUGGCAUAAGGGCGCUUGACUGGGAGACAGACAAGUCGAUCAGGUAGGAAACUAGAGCAUAGUGAUCCGGUGUUUCCGCAUGGAAGGGACAUCGCUCAAAGGAUAAAAGGUACUCCGGGGAUAACAGGCUGAUC
rnacentral:rRNA from 1 species